rnacentral:piRNA from 1 species
UGUCACUGUGGAGAUUCCGCUGACACUGC